rfam:Anopheles gambiae str. PEST whole genome shotgun sequencing project, whole genome shotgun sequence.
AGCAAUACCUCGCUGAUACGGGGGUGAAUCCGAAGCCUCUAGAAGGUUAACAAAGGCUCUCCACCUCCUACACCUACUCAUUCCCCGUCGUACAGAAUUUUAACAUGUCUCUCAAUUAUCCAAGCUUCUGAAUCAGGGCAAUAUCUGGAUGAGAUUGCCAGCGCCAUCAAACAGU